rnacentral:rRNA from 1 species
UACAGAGGGUGCUAGCGUUGUUCGGAAUCAUUGGGCGUAAAGGGCGUGUAGGCGGUUUGUUAAGUCAUGUGUGAAAGCCCCCGGCUCAACCGGGGAACGACGCAUGAAACUGGCAAGCUAGAGUACCGAAGAGGGGGGGUGGAAUUCCCGGUGUAGCGGUGAAAUGCGUAGAUAUCGAGAGGAACACCUGCGGCGAAGGCGGGUUGCUGGGCUGAUACUGACGCUGAGGCGCGAAAGCUAGGGGAGCGAACGGG